GAUGUAUAGCAUUAAUGGUGUUAUGAAUUAAAUGAUGAUGAGAAUCAAUCGAAGUAGGACUAGUCUUAUAGUCAAAAUGUUCUAAUUUUUUAAUAACUUUUCAAUAUAACAUGAUGGAGUGAGAGUGCAUAUACAAUUUUUCUUAAUCACCUUUAUUCCUAAUAUCAUAUCAACAUAGGAGCUAAAUCUUUAAUUUCAUAUUAGUACCAAAAUAAGCAAAACAUCAACAUAAAUAGCCAUA
rnacentral:lncRNA from 1 species